UGCCCAAGAGAUCGGGAUAACACCUGGAAACAGAUGCUAAUACCGGAUAACAACAGAUGAUGCCUAUCAACUGUUUAAAAGAUGGUUCUGCUAUCACUCUUGGAUGGACCUGCGGUGCAUUAGCUAGUUGGUAAGGUAACGGCCUACCAAGGCGAUGAUGCAUAGCCGAGUUGAGAGACUGAUCGGCCACAUUGGGACUGAGACACGGCCCAAACUCCUACGGGAGGCAGCAGCA
rnacentral:rRNA from 1 species